rnacentral:rRNA from 1 species
GACGAACGCUGGCGGCGUGCCUAAUACAUGCAAGUCGAGCGGACCAAAGGGAGCUUGCUCCUGGAGGUUAGCGGCGAACGGGUGAGUAACACGUGGGCAACCUGCCUGUAAGACUGGGAUAACAUCGAGAAAUCGGUGCUAAUACCGGAUAAUAAAAAGAACUGCAUGGUUCUUUUUUGAAAGAUGGUUUCGGCUAUCACUUACAGAUGGGCCCGCGGCGCAUUAGCUAGUUGGUGAGGUAACGGCUCACCAAGGCAACGAUGCGUAGCCGACCUGAGAGGGUGAUCGGCCACACUGGGACUGAGACACGGCCCAGACUCCUACGGGAGGCAGCAGUAGGGAAUCUUCCGCAAUGGACGAAAGUCUGACGGAGCAACGCCGCGUGAGUGAUGAAGGUUUUCGGAUCGUAAAACUCUGUUGUUAGGGAAGAACAAGUGCCGUUCGAAAGGCGGCACCUUGACGGUACCUAACGAGAAAGCCACGGCUAACUACGUGCCAGCAGCCGCGGUAAAG